GUGGUCGUUGGAGGUGGUUGGCGGUGGUUGGAGGUGUUCGAAGGUGGUUGGGGUAGUUGCGGGUGAUCAAGGUCGACGAGGAGAAGGACUAGGCGGAGGAAGAAGAGGAAGACGAGAAAAAAAAGGUGGAGGAGGAGGACGAGGAUUUGUGCUCGGUAUAACCGGAGGUGGUUAUCGAUGGUUGUUGGAGGUGGUUGGCGGUGGUUGGUGGUGGUCGGAGGUCGACGAGUAGGAGGACGAGGAAGACUAGGAGAAGAAGGUGGCUGAGGAUUUGUGCUCGGUAUAACCCGAGGUGGUUGGAGGUGGUCGAGCUGGACGAGGUGGAG